UACGUAGGGUGCGAGCGUUGCCCGGAUUUAUUGGGCGUAAAGGGCGCGUAGGCGGCCACGCACGUCCGUUGUGAAAUCGCUCGGCUCAACUGGGCGGGGUCAGCGGAUACGGCGUGGCUAGAGCAAGCUAGGGGGCAAUGGAAUUCCCGGUGUAGUGGUGGAAUGCGUAGAUAUCGGGAGGAACAUCUGUGGCGAAGGCGGCCACCUGGACCAACACUGACACUGAGGCACGAAAGCGUGGGGAGCAAACAGG
rnacentral:rRNA from 1 species